UCACUUUGUAGAUGAGGACACCAAGGCUCAGAGCGUUCAGUGACCAUUGUGGAUAUGAGAAGCAUUAGAGAAGUUAGAUGUGGACCCUGACAUUCAUAGAAAGAGUCCAAAAACAUCAAUGAGAGCACAUUAGGGCUAGUAACCAGCUUCCAAUAGGAAGCAGAGGCGAAAUUUGGGCGUGAGGGGACGAUGCAAGGGUGGAUCACAGAUCAAGAGGAUGCUGGUGUUGGUCAAAGUUGUGAGGUUGAUACGAUGUGUUGCAAAGAUCUGCAUAAUGUGUUUCAGCUUCACACAAAAAUGAAAUUGAAAGCUGAAGAAGGAAGACUGCUAAAGUGUGAGCCAUUUGUGUUCACAAGCUUGCUGUGUCAGGAGGAGUUCUCCGGGAACUGGGUGGCUCAUGAGAGGUGGAACUGAAGAGAGUUUAAUGAAGGAACAAUUUAUAAAGAGUGUCCAUUGGGCUGGACCCAACUGAAGCUAGAGGGCAAGGAAGUCCAAGUGAUAUAGUCUAAGGCACAGAGCAAGAUGAAGAAAGGUGGGGUGUAGCCUUGGAGGAAUAUCCAGCAAAAGUACAAGACUGGAAGUGAAGAAUGAUGAACAAAACUGAUGCUAAGAAACUUUGCAUUUACGUCUGAUGUACAUGUGACCAGUUAGAAUCUAAACUCAACGACCUUCUUCUUCCCAUUUUUCUGCUGUCCAGUCAUUACUAAUAAAAGAGCCUCUUUCAAAGUUCUCUUUU
rnacentral:lncRNA from 1 species